rnacentral:rRNA from 1 species
UACGUAGGGUGCAGGCGUUAUUCGGAAUUACUGGGCGUAAAGCGUGCGCAGGCGGUUUCUUAAGUCAGAUGUGAAAGCCCCGGGCUUAACCUGGGAACUGCGUUUGAAACUGGGAGACUUGAGUGUGGCAGAGGGGAGUGGAAUUCCACGUGUAGCAGUGAAAUGCGUAGAUAUGUGGAGGAACACCGAUGGCGAAGGCAGCCCCCUGGGUUAACACUGACGCUCAUGCACGAAAGCGUGGGGAGCAAACAGG